rnacentral:rRNA from 1 species
CCAGGAUGGACAUACCGAUGGUGUAUCAGUUGUCACACCAGUGGCACGGCUGAGUAGCUAAGUAUGGAAGGGAUAAACGCUGAAAGCAUCUAAGUGUGAAGCCCACCCUAAGAUAAGAUAUCUCAUACCGUCAAGGUAGUAAGAUUCCACGUAGACUAUGUGGUUGAUAGGUUGGAGGUGGAAGUGUAGUGAUACAUGCAGCUGACCAAUACUAAUAAAUCGAGGGCUUAACCAC